GAUGAACGCUAGCGGAAGGCUUAAUACAUGCAAGUCGAGCGGUAGGUGGCUUCGGCCAUUGAGAGCGGCGCACGGGUGAGUAACGCGUACAUGACCUGCCUGUCAGAAGGGGAUAGCCCUGGGAAACUGGGAUUAAUACCCUAUGGUAUUGAUAUUAUGAAUGAUAUCAAUUAAAGUUGAGGCGCUGACAGAUGGAUGUGCGUCUGAUUAGCUAGUUGGUAGGGUAACGGCCUACCAAGGCGACGAUCAGUAGGGGCGUGAGAGCGUGGUCCCCCACACGGGUACUGAGACACGGACCCGACUCCUACGGGAGGCAGCAGUAAGGAAUAUUGGUCAAUGCCCGCAAGGGUGAACCAGCCAUUCCGCGUGGAGGAUGAAGGCCCUAUGGGUUGUAAACUUCUUUUAGAUGGGAAGAAAAUGCUAGAUGUAUCUGGUACUGACGGUACCAUCAGAAUAAGCACCGGCUAACUCCGUGCCCAGCAGCCGGGUAA
rnacentral:rRNA from 1 species